UACGUAGGGAGCAAGCGUUGUUCGGAUUUACUGGGCGUAAAGGGCGCGUAGGCGGCGCGGUAAGUCACUUGUGAAAUCUCUGAGCUUAACUCAGAACGGCCAAGUGAUACUGCAGUGCUAGAGUGCAGAAGGGGCAAUCGGAAUUCUUGGUGUAGCGGUGAAAUGCGUAGAUAUCGAGAGGAACACCUGCGGCGAAGGCGGGUUGCUGGGCUGACACUGACGCUGAGGCGCGAAGGCCAGGGGAGCAAACGGG
rnacentral:rRNA from 1 species